UCGUAUAAAGAAACAAAAUCGAGUGUGGAAUGCAAGGAGCGUGAAGGACGGCGAUAACAAGUUCAAAAGGCUAAUUACAUGAUUUUUAGUUAUACCAAAAAAAGGACAAAAGGAGUUGACGGCGUCAAAAAGACACGUGAAACCCAAUCAGGUCUCCUCGAAGUUUCAUGGAAAAAGACGACAGUUCAACUGACCUGACACAUCACCCAACUCUCAUAUGCCGCAGCUAACGGCGCUUUAACGGUAAUGGCUACCGUCCAUAAUGCCCUUU